ACUGUAAAGUGGGAGCAUACACAGAUGUGGAGUGAGGAAGAUAGCAAAGCCCUCUUAAACACAUGUUUGGAUCAUGGACAGACACAGGACUUCAUAAGAAGAGUUCACCAUGCAUGGCGUGGACACACUCCAAGGCUGUUCACACUGGCUUGUUUCCAAAUGGGUACAAAUCCCCUCUGCAUACCCAAGUGAAUGAUCAUCUCCAGUGCAGUGGCUGAGCUACGUGAUUCUCCCAUAACUGUCAUGUUGAUGGUAAAACAACCUGGAGAAAUGAGAAAAAGACUGGUUGGUUAUCAUUUCCUUCCAACUAUCCUUCACACUUCACUGCACCCAUGAGUAAAAUUUGUGUAAUGAAUGCACUGGGUCUGAGCAAUAUUGAUGCCACUGUGUACAAGAAAUAAUCAAGAAGUUAACAAAGCAACGAUGGCGUCUUUGGUAAGUACAGUGCUUAACUUCAGAAAUAAAAGUUGAAACACCAUGACGUCAAACGUUCCCAGCAAAAGCACUCAGAAAAAUGAGAGCACAAUGUUUCAGGGAAUGGAAGAAGACUGUUUUCCCUCUUAUGAGACACAGUCUGUUAAGAAAGGGAGAUUGUGAGUGCCUUCAUUUCAACUUCUUGGUCCCUCCCUUGGGGCUUGGGAUCUCCCAUGUCAAAUGGUCAGCCUGCAGGUAGGCCAGCUCUGUUCUGUGACCCUGGCUUCAAUUCAAGGAGCAAAGAAGUUGUCACUUCUUUUUGUUUCAAUCUCAGUCUCAAGCUUUGUUCUCCACACUACUUUGCCAUCAAAACAGCUGUUAUCCUAUUUCCAAUUUGACUCCGUUGUUUGUAUUUAUACUUCAGCAGUCAGAGAUCUAAAGGGGAGAAGAGAAUGAGGUAGGUAAAUGGUAGGAUGUGGGAUCCAAAGAUAGCCUAUCUUCAACAUCCUGCAAUAUUAAAGCUGGAAGAAGUGAAGCCUUCUUAUGUGAUGAGAAAAAUGCAGAUCAGCUGGGCGCAACAAGGUAUGCUCAGUCACACAGCAUGCCAGGGCGAGAGACACAAGUAGACGUCCGCACGACAGCACAGGUGAAUGAUCUUUUCCCAAGGCCAUCCUACUAUGACUUUG
rnacentral:lncRNA from 1 species